UGGAGGGCAUCUAGUAAGUCAUGAGAGGAUAGAAGAGGUAAUUCUCUUCCUCUAAGUGAAGUCAACCGCUUGAUUUAGGCAUCAUGAAUGUUCACCUUGAGAAUCUUCCUAUGGUGGAAGAGCACUAAAAAAGAACUUUCAAAUGUUCAACAUGUUUAUAUAAGACUGAAUUUGAUUGAGAAAGAGUAACAAAAACUACAUGUUGAGCUUGUAGACUUAUGGACAGUAAGUAAUAUUCUGGCAUGUAAAUGAUUAAUUGAUUCAUGAGAGUAGAAUUUUAACUUGACAAAAUUGGUGUUCUUCCAUCAUUAGUAGAAAUAUAACUCAACCGAAAUUUUUAUAGGUUUUAUUUUAUUGCAUUUGCCUGUGGAAAGAACCUUUAUAGACUGAAUUAUUCACUAAUUUUCAGGUUAAUCAAGCUCUUCUCGACUUGUUAAAGGCAUCUGAAAUGAAGAUGAGCCCGCAUGAUUGGAACAACUUCCCCAAGAAAAGUUCUGGUGUGUAUUCUUCUUAAAGUUAAAGAUGGAUUAGCAGAAAGUCUUUAAUGCAAUAAAUCAUUAGUAUUCCUCUCUAAUCUAUUAACUAAAUGCUUGGGUAUCCUAUCUGAUCUGACAGAUAUAGUUGCUUGAAUUCACUUGAAAGUUAUGAAAUUCUACUUCCGUUUUUAGUGUCUAAUUUUGCUCCCAUUUUCUAGCAGGAGCUUCUAGCAGAACGACGAUAGAGGGGGAAACCAACAUAAUCUUAGGAAAGCUCCACUUUUACCUAUUAUAUCUAUUCAGUCUAUUUAUGAUGGCGUUAAAGAAUGGAAGAAGUGCUCUACGAAGGCUAAAACCAGCUAGAGUUGGAGCUUCCCUAACAUAGUCUAUUUUUUUAACUGGUAAGUUCUGAGUUUAUCUUUCCUUGUGCUUAAAAGCAGGUUUAGAAUAGAAUAAACUGAGACUCAUUUGCUCGUAUCUUCUUUUUUCAGGUUUCAUAAAUUUCUGCCAUUGUGGCGCGACCUCCUUUGGCUAGGCUGUUAGCUUAUUUCUAUAUUAUUGGCGAACCUAGGUACACAAAACAAAAAAAAAGGAACAAAGAGUCAGACAACCAAAAUUUGUAAAUGAAGGAGAUCAAUAUAAGCCAAACUCGAGGCAGAUCACCCGGUGGAAGAGAAGGCUAAGGUGGUGGGGGAUGCUCUUUCCUGUCCUCCUCUUGAUUCUAUAUACUAGAGAAAGAUGAAGCUGAGUUGCUUUUGUAUGAACCAACACAAAUACAUAAAUACGACCAUAAAAGGAAACCAAUUUGGUUCUUAUACCAAGUGACAUUGUAUCUGAACGAAAAGAAAAUAAGUGUCCCGUGCAUGCUUCCAUUUAGGGGUGAGCAAUUAAUCUAUUCGGUUGGCUUAAUUUAAAAAAAUUAAUAAUCGAUUUAAUUAAUUUUUAUUCAAUAAAUAAUUAAAACGAUCAAAAAUUUUUAAAAGGUUGAUCAUACUUGAAUCAAUCAAAAUUAGUUCAAUUUUGUUGAUUCAAUUAAAUAACUUAAUUUUUUAUUAUUUUUUUUAUUUUUCUUAUGAAUAAUUAUUUAAUUAUAAAUUCAAUUCAUUAAAACUCAAAUUCAAGUAUUAUUUAAAAUAAAUCACUAAAAAAUUAAAUAAUUUUAAUAAUAUUUUAUAAUAAAAAAUAAAAUAUUUAUAUAAAUUUUUUUAUUUUUACUUAUUAAAAAAUUGAUUAAUUGAGUUAGUUCAAUUAUCUAUUUUAAAAAUCAAAAAUCAAUCGAGUUAAUCAAUUUAAUUAAUUUAAAAAAUCAAUUAUAACCAAAAUCAAAUAAAUCAAAUUGAAUAAACUAAAUUUACUCAAUUUUGAUCAAUUUAAUUGAUUCAAAUAGAUUUUUGCUCACCUUUACUACCAUUUAUACAUUUAUCUUUUUCUCUAAUUAGUGUUUUAUAAUACUAAAUAUCUGGAAAAAUAGAUUACCCAUAAAUGAAUUGAAUAUGAAUGAAUUUAAAUAUAUUCAUAAAAUUUUUCAAUUAAUUAAUGAAUUUAAAAAUAUUUAUAAAUUUUUUUUAAAAUUUAAUAAACAAAUAUAAAUUAACAAAAAUUUAAUUUAUUCAGAGACUAUUCGUUUCUAUCAAAUUAUACGAAAACAAAAAUCAAUUAUUGCUUUGCGGGCAUUUCAAUACUUAAAAAUAAGGUUCAACUGUAGCAUACCAUUACCUUAAUAACUUCCCAGUGAGGUAACGAAGAACAGGGAUUGUUUCAACAGACUACCAAAUUGCCAAGCAAUUGGAAAUGGUUUACAAUUUCCCGAGAGGAACAGUUUUGAGGAGGCAACACUGAAUAUACAACAAGAUCAAAAGAUUACAUAAGAGGGAAAGAGAACGUACCUGGAAGUUGUUUGAGGAUUGCAUCCUAGCACCGUCAAUCGUUUGCUUCAAAGCCAAUAUGGGGAAAGAAGAAGCGGAGAUGGAAAGACAAUAAAACAGGAAACUUAGAUUCUAACUUUAUGCGAAAAAAUAUACCUUAUACCCCUGGAAUAUCCUAAUAUGCUUGGACCGCCCUCUUUAUAUUUAUGUAAAAAUGCAG
rnacentral:lncRNA from 1 species